rnacentral:rRNA from 1 species
UACAGAGGUCUCGAGCGUUGUUCGGAUUCAUUGGGCGUAAAGGGCGCGUAGGCGGCGGGGUAAGUCUGGUGUGAAAUCUCGGAGCUCAACUCCGAAAUUGCACUCGAUACUGCUUUGCUUGAGGACUGGAGAGGAGAUUGGAAUUCACGGUGUAGCAGUGAAAUGCGUAGAUAUCGUGAGGAAGACCAGUGGCGAAGGCGGAUCUCUGGACAGUUCCUGACGCUGAGGCGCGAAGGCCAGGGGAGCAAACGGG